rnacentral:rRNA from 1 species
AACGAACGCUGGCGGCAUGCCUAACACAUGCAAGUCGAACGAGACCUUCGGGUCUAGUGGCGCACGGGUGCGUAACACGUGGGAAUUUGCCUCGGGGUAUGGAAUAACUCAGGGAAACUUGAGCUAAUACCAUAUAAUGUCUUCGGACCAAAGAUUUAUCGCCCUGAGAUAAGCCCGCGUAGGAUUAGCUAGUUGGUGGGGUAAAGGCCUACCAAGGCGACGAUCCAUAGCUGGUCUGAGAGGAUGAUCAGCCACAUUGGGACUGAGACACGGCCCAAACUCCUACGGGAGGCAGCAGUGGGGAAUAUUGGACAAUGGGCGCAAGCCUGAUCCAGCCAUGCCGCGUGAGUGAUGAAGGCCC